GAUGAACGCUAGCGGCGGGCCUAAUACAUGCAAGUCGAACGGUGCAGCAAUGCAUAGUGGCAGACGGGUGCGUAACGCGUAUGCAACCUACCCUUUUAUCGGGGGACAACAUUUCGAAAGAAGUGCUAAUACCGCGUAAGAUAGUAGUGGGACAUCCCACAGCUAUUAAACUUUCGGGGAUAGAAGAUGGGCAUGCGUCUGAUUAGCUAGUUGGCGGGGUAACGGCCCACCAAGGCGACGAUCAGUAGGGGAACUGAGAGGUUGAUCCCCCACACUGGCACUGAGAUACGGGCCAGACUCCUACGGGAGGCAGCAGUAGGGAAUAUUGGGCAAUGGAC
rnacentral:rRNA from 1 species